rnacentral:lncRNA from 13 species
AUAACAAGUUCAAAAAUGUACCCCAAAAGGCUCUUCAAAAGGUUAUUCAAAGAAUUUAUAGAGGUUCCCCCAUAGUUUCAAUUUGAAGAACCCCUAAAGGAUACUCCAGGAACCUUUUCUUUUUAGAGUAUAUAGGUAAUGUGGGAGCUGAUGGUAGAGCCGAAUACCCCAUGUGUCUUCCAUGCAGGCAUUGUGAGACAGUCCAUUGGGCUUUUGUUAUGUGGUAGAAAAAACAGACAAGCAAGUUGGCUGGAGGGAAGCAGGUGGAGUGUGAAAGAGUUUGAAAACCCCUGGGCUACACUGUACUACAAUAUAGGAUCAGGGAAUGGAGCAUGGCAGUACCAGCGGCUAGAUACUGAGUUUCCUGAAGUCCCACAAGAAAAUGGAAUUCGUGUUGGAGGCCCAGGCAAGGAAGAGGGUGGAUGGUGAGAAGAAGCAGAAAGAAGGGUGCGAGGUGCAAACACAAACUGUGAAAUACAGUGGGGCAAAAAAGUAUUUAGUCAGCCACCAAUUGUGCAAGUUCUCCCACUUAAAAAUAUGAGAGAGGCCUGUAAUUUUCAUCAUAGGUACACUUCAACUAUGACAGACAAAAUGAGAAAAAAAAUCCAGAAAAUCACAUUGUAGGAUUUUUAAUGAAUUUAUUUGCAAAUUAUGGUGGAAAAUAAGUAUUUGGUCAAAACAAAAGUUUAUCUCAAUACUUUGUUAUAUACCCUUUGUUGGCAAUGACAGAGGUCAAACGUUUUCUGUAAGUCUUCACAAGGUUUUCACACACUGUUGCUGGUAUUUUUGCCCAUUCCUAAAUGCAUAUCUCCUCUAGAGCAGGGAUGUUUUGGGGCUGUUGCUGGGCAACAUGGACUUUCAACUCCCUCCAAAGAUUUUCUAUGGGGUUGAGAUCUGGAGACUGGCUAGGCCACUCCAGGACCUUGAAAUGCUUCUUAGGAAGCCACUCCUUCGUUGCCCUAGCGGUGUGCUUGGGAUCAUUGUCAUGCUGAAAGAGCCAGCCACGUUUCAUCUUCAAUGCCCUUGCUGAUGGAAGGAGGUUUU